AAGCCUGAUGGAGCAAUACCGCGUGAGGGAUGACGGUUUUCGGAUUGUAAACCUCUUUUAAUAGGAAGAUUAUGACGGUACUAUUUGAAUAAGCAUCGGCUAACUACGUGCCAGCAGCCGCGGUAAUA
rnacentral:rRNA from 1 species